rnacentral:tRNA from 1 species
GGCUCCGUGGUGUAGUUGGUAUCACAUUGGCCUAGAAUGCCGAAGACGCUGGUUCGAAUCCAGCCGGUGCCC